UACGUAGGGUGCAAGCGUUAAUCGGAAUUACUGGGCGUAAAGCGUGCGCAGGCGGUUGUGCAAGACAGAUGUGAAAUCCCCGGGCUCAACCUGGGAAUGGCAUUUGUGACUGCACGGCUAGAGUGUGUCAGGAGGGGGGUAGAAUUCCACGUGUGAGCAGUGAAAUGCGUAGAUAUGUGGAGGAAUACCGAUGGCGAAGGCAGCCCCCUGGGAUAACACUGACGCUCAUGCACGAAAGCGUGGGGAGCAAACAGG
rnacentral:rRNA from 1 species